AAUGUAGAUUGUGCACUCAUUUGGUCUUAGACACUGCGAAUUACCCAAUCCUAAUACGGGGAGGCAGUGACAAUAAAUAAUAAUACCAGGCGCCUUACUAUCUCGUAAUUGAAAUGAGUACAAUCUAAAUCUCUUAGCAAGGAUCCAUUGGAGCGCAAGUCUUGUGCCUUGCAGCCACGGUAAUUCCAACUCCAAUAGCGUAUAUUUAAGUUGUUGUAGUUAAAAAGCUCAUAGUAGGACCUUGGGUUGGGUCGGCCGGUCCGCCCCACGGCGAUCACCGACCUACUCGACCCUUCGGCCGGCAUCAUGCUCCUAGCCUUAAUUGGCCUGGUCGUGUUCUGGGCAUAUUACUCUGAAGAAAGUAGAGUGCUCAAAGCAAGCCAUCGCUUUAAAUACAUUAGCAUGGGAUAACAUCAUAGUAUUUCCGUGUUUCAAAUAAGUCAGUGAGGCGGGCGCACAAUACGCCAAUAUAUUUGGUUGUGUCCAAGGCCAAUUCAUGAUUAGAUACUUGACAAUUUCGGUUUAUUUCGACGCCUCACUAAUGCGGAGUGGAAAUAUAUGAAUAACACGUCUAGAGAAGCGUUUGAGCAAUU
rfam:Triticum aestivum genome assembly, contig: Triticum_aestivum_CS42_TGACv1_scaffold_593432_7BS